rnacentral:rRNA from 1 species
UACAGGAGGGUGCGAGCGUUGUCCGGAAUCAUUGGGCGUAAAGGGCGCGUAGGUGGCCCGGUCAGUUCGUGGUGAAAGCGCGGGGCUCAACCCUGCGUCGGCCAUGAAUACUGCCGCGGCUGGAGCACUGUAGAGGCAGGCGGAAUUCCGGGUGUAGCGGUGGAAUGCGUAGAGAUCCGGAAGAACACCGGUGGCGAAGGCGGCCUGCUGGGCAGUUAGCUGACACUGAGGCGCGGACAGCGUGGGGAGCAAACAGG